UUGGCUUAGAAGCAGCCAUCAUUUAAAGAGUGCGUAAUUGCUCACUAGUCAAGUGAUUUUGCGCCGAUAAUUAGCGGGACUAUUAACCCUGAUACCGAAGCUUUGAUUCUCUCGCUUAUGGCGAGGGAAGGUAGGGGAGCGUUCCAUUAACCAAUGAAGGUCAAUCGCGAGGUUGGCUGGAGGAGAUGGAAAUGAGUAUGCUGGCAUUAGUAGCGAUAAUUCCGGUGAGAUUCCGGAACACCGAAAGCCUAAGGUUUCCUGAGUAAAGUAACUCUGCUCAGGGUUAGUCGGGCCCUAAGCCGAGCCCCGAACUAUCGGGGGUAGGUGAUGGAUAACAGGUUGAAUAUUCCUGUACCAUCUGUUUGCCGUUUGAACUAUGGGGUGACGCAGAAGUGAAAGGUCAGCCGGGUGUUGAAUGUCCCGGUUUAAGCAGGUAGAGGGAUCUGAUUGGCAAAUCCGUCAGAUCAUAACCUUGAGAUGCGAAUAGGAGUCCCUCGGACACAAACUGACCCUAAACCAGCUGACAAGAAAAGCCUCUAUGUUAGGUGAACGGAUGUCCGUACCAUAAACCGACACAGGUGGGCGAGGAGAGUAUCCUAAGGUGCGCGAGAUAGCUCUGGUUAAGGAACUAGGCAAAUUGGCCCCGUAACUUCGGAAUAUGGGGUGCCUCGAGUAAGUGAAGCUUACUAUUUCGAUAGACAGGCGGAGCUGAAAGAGGUCGCAGUGAAGAGGUCCAAGCGACUGUUUACUAAAAACACAUGUCUCUGCUAAGUCGUAAGACGACGUAUAGGGACUGACACCUGCCCGGUGCUGGAAGGUUAAGGGGACGAGUCAUCCCGCUUCGGCGGGGGAAGCUCCGAACUGAAGCCCCAGUAAACGGCGGCCGUAACUAUAACGGUCCUAAGGUAGCGAAAUUCCUUGUCGGGUAAGUUCCGACCCGCACGAAUGGUGUAACGAUUUGGACACUGUCUCGACCAGAGCCUCGGCGAACUUGUAAUGCCGGUGAAGAUGCCGGUUUCCCGCAGCUGGACAGGAAGACCCCGGAACCUUUACUAUAGCUUGGCAUUGGGUUUUGGGUUUAUAUGUGUAGGAUAGGUGGGAGACGUUGAAGUCCCGACGCCAGUCGGGAUGGAGUCAACCUUGAAAUACCACCCUUAUAAAUCUAGAAUUCUAAUCCCGACCCCUGAAGCGGGGCGGGAGACAUUGUCAGGUGGGUAGUUUAACUGGGGCGGUUGCCUCCUAAAAUGUAACGGAGGCUCCCAAAGGUUCCCUCAGCACGUUUGGUAAUCGUGCGCCGAGUGUAAAGGCAUAAGGGAGCUUAACUGUGAGACAAACAAGUCGAGCAGAUGCGAAAGCAGGGCUUAGUGAUCCGGUGGUUGCUUAUGGAAGCGCCAUCGCUCAAAGGAUAAAAGGUACUCCGGGGAUAACAGGCUGAUCUCCCCCAAGAGUUCAUAUCGACGGGGAGGUUUGGCACCUCGAUGUCGGCUCGUCACAUCCUGGGGCUGGAGAAGGUCCCAAGGGUUGGGCUGUUCGCCCAUUAAAGUGGCACGUGAGCUGGGUUUAGAACGUCGUGAGACAGUUCGGUCCUUAUCCGCUGUGGGCGCAGGAGAUUUGCGGGGGGCUACUCUUAGUACGAGAGGACCAGAGUGGACGAACCUCUGGUGCACCAGUUGUGCCGUCAGGUGCAUCGCUGGGUAGCUAUGUUCGGUCAGGAUAAACGCUGAAAGCAUAUAAGCGUGAAACCUUCCCCAAGAUGAUAUCUCCCUUCCGUUUCGGCGGAACUAAAGGCUUCCCGUAGACUACGGGAUUGAUAGGUCACAGGUGUACGAUCAGUAAUGAUUUUAGCCGAGUGAUACUAAUAAGCCGUGCGUCUUGACCAA
rnacentral:rRNA from 1 species